rnacentral:tRNA from 1 species
CAGUGUAGCUGAGGGGUAAAGUGCCGGCUUGUAAGCUCGAGUUCCUGGGUUCAACACCCAGCACUG